AUUGAACGCUGGCGGCAGGCCUAACACAUGCAAGUCGAACGAGUGGCGGACGGGUGAGUAAUGUCUGGGAAACUGCCUGAUGGAGGGGGAUAACUACUGGAAACGGUAGCUAAUACCGCAUACCAUCGGAUGUGCCCAGAUGGGAUUAGCUAGUAGGUGGGGUAAAGGCUCACCUAGGCGACGAUCCCUAGCUGGUCUGAGAGGAUGACAGGUCACACUGGAACUGAGACACGUUCCGGACUCCUACGUGAGGAAGAAGUGGGGAAUAUUGCACAAGGGGCGCAGUCCUGAGACAGCCAGGCGGCGUGUAUGAAUAAGGCCUUCGUGUGUUAAAGUACUUGCAGCGGGGAGGCGUUACCCGCAGAAGAAGCACCGGCUAACUCCGUGCCAGCAGCCGCGGUAAUAC
rnacentral:rRNA from 1 species